rnacentral:rRNA from 1 species
UACGUAGGGGGCAAGCGUUGUCCGGAAUCAUUGGGCGUAAAGCGCGUGUAGGCGGCCCGGUAAGUCCGCUGUGAAAGUCGGGGGCUCAACCCUCGAAUGCCGGUGGAUACUGUCGGGCUAGAGUGCGGGAGAGGCGAGUGGAAUUCCUGGUGUAGCGGUGAAAUGCGCAGAUAUCAGGAGGAACACCGACGGCGAAGGCAGCACUCUGGGCCGGUACUGACGCUGAGGAGCGAAAGCCAUGGGGAGCGAACAGG